UUCUUCGUCCUGGCAUUUGUCCCACAAAUUUGGGAAUAGAAAGGGGAGAGCUAAGAGGAGAAUCCCUCCCCGUCCCCCAAUGUCAGGUUCUUGCUCGCAUGCCGCACAGAUGCAGAAGGAACAUAUCGCACCAAGGAACCCGUGGUGGUGCAAUGGAGUAAACCCUUGUGCCAGCAGGACUGAUGAUUUGAAGGUUGGGUUGCUGUCCUUAAGGUUGCUGGUUCAAAUCCAACCCGGGGAGAGCGUGGAUGAGCUCCCUCUAUCAGCUCCAGUUCCAUGCGGGGACAUGAGCCAAGCCUCCCACAAGUAUGGUAAAAACAUCAAAACAUCUGGACGUCCCCUGGGCAGCAUCCUUGCAGAUGGCCAAUUCUCUCACACCAGAAGACUUGCAGUUUCUCAAGUCCCUCCUGACACAUAAAAAAACUUCCUUUCUGUGUUCAUGUAGUCUUUAACUGGUUGCCAGUCCAUUGGGCAAUGGGCAUGUUCAAAAAUUGGAGGCAAGACAAUAAAUUAUACAUAUGCAAUAUAUUGCAACUGAUUUUCAUUGAGGACCACAUCAGACUUACAGCUGCCUUCAAAGCUCAACUGAAUUCAUGAAUGGAGAAUUCAUGGAUACAGAGGGCCAACUGGGGAUAAUGGAAUUGCAACUCAACAGUGCUUGUGGUUCUGAGGAUUGGGAAAGGUUAAAUGUCAAGACAUCAUAUCCGCAAACCUUGUAUCUAAAUUCAAAACCCAUUAUCCUGACUAAACAGAACAAACUGCAGUUUUCCAGAUGUGACUGUAUUACAAAUCCCAUCAGCUGUAGUCAUGAUGUCUAAUGAUGUGGAAUAUAGAAGUUUGUUUACGAGGGCCACAUAAAAUGACACGGUGGGCCAGAUUCAGACAGUGGGCCUUGAGUUUGACACAUGUGGCCUAUGGAGAUCCAGGCCAGUCACUUUGCUGCUAUUGUAAAUGCUGCAGCAGGAAAUGGCACAACUUGGUUUUUUGGAACAGUUGGCUCAAUGUUUCUCUUAAAAGACUUCUCAGCAUGAGACAAUGGGUAGGCAAAUGGUCUGAAAUAUGAAUCCCCAUCCAACAGAAAUAUGCAACAUGCAGUGGGCUGAUGAUCGGUCUUCUAGGAGAGAGCUUUCAGUUUAUCAGGGACAAAAACCUCUGUCUUAUUAUAAUGCAGAGAUUAAGGAAGCUUCCUACAAUAAUUUCCCAAAGCUGUCAGAGACUGUCUCAUCAACUCUGCCCUCACAAA